GAUGAACGCUAGCUACAGGCUUAACACAUGCAAGUCGAGGGGCAGCAUGAUUGAAGCUUGCUUCAAUUGAUGGCGACCGGCGCACGGGUGAGUAACGCGUAUCCAACCUUCCGUACACUCAGGGAUAGCCUUUCGAAAGAAAGAUUAAUGCCUGAUGGUAUCUUAAGCACACAUGUAAUUAAGAUUAAAGAUUUAUCGGUGUACGAUGGGGAUGCGUUCCAUUAGGUAGUAGGCGGGGUAACGGCCCACCUAGCCGACGAUGGAUAGGGGUUCUGAGAGGAAGGGCCCCCACAUUGGAACUGAGACACGGUCCAAACUCCUACGGGAGGCAGCAGUGAGGAAUAUUGGUCAAUGGACGAGAGUCUGAACCAGCCAAGUAGCGUGAAGGAUGAAGGUCCUACGGAUUGUAAACUUCUUUUAUAAGGGAAUAAAACCUCCCACGUGUGGGAGCUUGUAUGUACCUUAUGAAUAAGCAUCGGCUAACUCCGUGCCAGCAGCCGCCGUAACAC
rnacentral:rRNA from 1 species